AAUCAACGCUGGCGGCGUGCCUCAGACAUGCAAGUCGAACGAUUAAAGCUCUCUUCGGAGAGUGUAUAGAGUGGCGCACGGGUGAGUAACACGUAAGUAAUCUACCUUUGAGUGGGAAUAACAGUCGGAAACGGCUGCUAAUACCGCAUAACGCAGCGGCACCGCAAGGUGACAGUUGUUAAAGGAGCAAUCCGACUUAAAGGAGGAGCUUGCGGCAGAUAGCUUGUUGGUAAGGUAACGGCUUACCAAGGCUACGAUCUGUAUCCGGUCUAAGAGGACGGUCGGACACACUGACACUGAAUAACGGGUCAGA
rnacentral:rRNA from 1 species